rnacentral:rRNA from 1 species
UACGUAGGGUGCUAGCGUUGUCCGGAUUUAUUGGGCGUAAAGGGCUCGUAGGCGGCGUGUCGCGUCGGGAGUGAAAGCCCGCUGCUUAACGGCGGGUUGGCUUCCGGUACGGGCAUCGCUGGAGGUAGGUAGGGGAGAUCGGAAUUCCUGGUGUAGCGGUGAAAUGCGCAGAUAUCAGGAGGAACACCGGUGGCGAAGGCGGAUCUCUGGGCCUUACCUGACGCUGAGGCGCGAAAGCUAGGGGAGCGAACAGG